UGGGGAAUUUUGGACAAUGGGGGCAACCCUGAUCCAGCCAUGCCGCGUGAGUGAAGAAGGCCUUCGGGUUGUAAAGCUCUUUCGGCGGGGAAGAAAUGGCAACGGCUAAUAUCCGUUGUGGAUGACGGUACCCGCAUAAGAAGCACCGGCUAACUACGUGCCAGCAGCCGCGGUAAUACGUAGGGUGCGAGCGUUAAUCGGAAUUACUGGGCGUAAAGCGUGCGCAGGCGGUUUCGUAAGACAGACGUGAAAUCCCCGGGCUCAACCUGGGAACUGCGUUUGUGAAUGCGAGGCUAGAGUACGGCAGAGGGGGGUAGAAUUCCACGUGUAGCAGUGAAAUGCGUAGAGAUGUGGAGGAAUACCGAUGGCGAAGGCAGCCCCCUGGGUUAGUACUGACGCUCAUGCACGAAAGCGUGGGAGCAAACA
rnacentral:rRNA from 1 species